UGUGUUUCACUUAAAUGAGAACUGUGAGAAGUGAAUUUUAGUGGAAUAUGCAGGAGGCUUGAAGGAAAUAACUUUUUUCAAAUUUUGUGAAAAUAUUAAAUAAAAAUAAUAAAACACAUAAAAAUAUAUAAAUAUGUAUACUAAUAACAUGCAAUCGUCCAUAUUUAUAUUUAAUUUUUAUUUAGCAUAGAUUUAACUUCCGAUGUUUCAAUAUCCCUUCAUGAAAAGUUGCGGAAACUGUAUGUUUUUAGAAUUGCCUUCAAUUUGGCCUUUUUUGAGGAUCCUAUUUAAACCACAUAAAGUCUUUGGUUUCGUCUAUCACCAAUAGGAAGGAGCUUGAUCAAACACCUUACCAGAAGUGUAUGCGCCAAUUAUUUAUUUGUUAUUUUUAUACGUAUAAAUAUUGUUGAUAAAAACUUACUUUUUACAAAAAGAAAGCAACUAUAAACGUUUUGCGCGAACAAAAAUUUUUUUUCUGAAUUGUUCCGCUUCUCAUACCAGUUAUUUUUAUAUUGAACUUUUUUAUUUUUUCGCCCAUUCAUCGCAAUAUCAUUUUAUUGAUCAAUUCAACAAACAAUUUUUAAUAUAAAAUACUUUUUAAUGUUAUUUAGAAUUGUCAAAUUUGGUUGGCUUAAAUCUUUAUUUACACUAUAAUUCCCCUUAUACAUUUAUAUGUAUGUACAUACAUUCUUAUGUUCUGUAUAGUCACAUUCAUAUGAAUAUUAUAUACCUACAUACAAAUGUCUUUAUGUAUGUGCCUACCCUUAGAUGGUUGCAUGGAUGUUCAUGUAAAAAAUCGAAAAUUCUAACCUCAAAUCAUUCCGUGCCUUCCCAAGAAACUCACUCAUAUCCAUCAUUGACGUGCAACCAAAUAAACCGAACGGCCAGCCAACCAACCAACCAAACUCAAUCUACAAAUGCUCAAUAAAUACAACAACCACUAUCGUAAACGAAAAUAAAAACAAAAACAACAACUGAAAUUUCACAUAGUGACAAAAGCGAAUAAAAGUAAUCAGCAGCCGCUCAGGGCAAGCAGAAGAUGUGCGGCCCCAAAACUACAAUAACAAUAACAUAUAACAUACGCGACAACAACGAUGGCGCUCCACCUCAUGCACACACACAUCCUCGCACACGAGAGCAAGAGAGGGGGAGCAAGAAAUGACGAGUGUGAAUUGCUAAAGAGUGCUGGAUGAGGAGGAGUGAGGGAUAGCAGACUAAAAAGACGACAGAAAAAAUGGAAAGAAAUCGUAACCGUAUUGAAUACUAGUUGAUGCACGAAACAACAACUAGCCAGCAAAAACAAGAAAAAGUCGUAUGUAAUAAGCAUCGUCGCGCCGGUGCGAGGCAAAAUCGGAUUUGUGUGCGCCACCAACUUACAUACACACGCUAACCCAUAGAGUGGUGUGUCUCCCAGCCCCACAAAGAGGAGAAAAAAGUAAAAUAAAAAAUAAAAAAACAGCAAUAAAAAAUGCGACGAUGAAAUGAUUUCAAUUGAAUUGUGAGCCACACGCGACAGAAUGAAAUAGCAAACGAAGCCAAGAGCCGAAGUCAAAGCAGCCAAGCACAGACAGCCGUGCUGGCAGGCAGGCGGGCAGGCAGCAGGCGAUAACGAACGGGCGAACCCAAACGAACCCCAAUCACAACAACACCAACUACAAAAAUCAUAUAAAAAACAACAGCAGCAAUGACAACAGCAAGAAAUAAUGGGCCGAGAGAGAGGAAUAAAAACAAAUUGAAGUGAAUGAAUGAAUUUCAAUACAUGGCGGCGGUGGCGAUUGCAGCGACGACGACUUCGACGUUAACCACUCGCAUGCCCGAAGGAAGAAUACGCUCAUCUAUACAAUACUUGUAUGAAAUUCGGAGACUCCACGUCGCUCUUGAAAUAUAAACAAACGCAAGCAAAAAUCAAAAUCACAUAAGAAAACCGAUAAAAAACCCGUAAAGGCACUGCCGAAGCCAUCGAAGACGCAACACAAAUGAAAUGUAAUCAGAAGACCAAAGAGAGAGAGAGCAAAUUUGUGUGUGAGAGACUGAGCGCGCAAUAAACUUUAAGCGCAUGUGAGCAUAAAGAUAGUCAAUGAAAUAAAAAACAAAAACAAAUAAAAAACAAUCCAAUAAAACGCGAAUGGAAAAAUUUAUUAUUGAAAGAAUCGGUUCCAUGUCUGCUCACAAAUCGCAUUUAAAGAAAAAUGGAAAAAUCUUAUAAUGAGUCGCUGGAAAAGCAAGAGAGAGAGAGCGAGAGAUCCAGCUCGGAAAGCACAUGAAUUUUAUCGGAAAGGGUAUUUAUUUUAUUUUGAGCGCAUUCAUAAAUCGAGUCAACGAACACCGACACUCACAACAAAUGAGCCGAAAUAAACCGAUGCGAGCGCUACACUUCCGCAGACGACGACGCUAGCGUAGACGUUUACAUUGCUGCUGGUGCUGCUGCCAUUGCUGCCAUUGUCGACUGAGCGAAACGAGCAAGCAUUUACCGAAAUCAAACCAAACACAUGAAAAUAUGGAUAAACAACAAAAAUAAGCACUAAAAAAGCAAAAACAAAAAAAAAAACAGCAAUAAUAAUAUCAACGAAUGGAUAAAGUAAAUCGAAGGCAAAGCAAAAAAAGAAAAACAAAAAAUAGAAAAAUCAAGGAAAUAAAAUACAACGUAUGGGAAAAAAGAAAUAACAAUAAAAGAGCCAAAUGAAGCGCUGCGUUAUGGUGCGGUGGCGCUGUGACGCCGAUGGUGGGCGCUGAGCGAAUGAACCGAUGGAGCAACCGAUGAUGGAACGAUGAAACGAUUGGCAACGCCAAACCAAAUAGCAAUAACAACAACAACAAACACUAUCACUACCAACAGCAGCAGCAGUAGUCACAUUCGAAGAAUCGAGCAGCAGAACAAACACCGAUAACAACAACCACACUAUCAACAGUGCGCGCAACAAGAGCACCAUCCAACCAACCAACCAACCACUACAUUCACGACUUUCGAACGCAUGUUGGCCAAUACUCCACUACAUGCGGCCGCCACCGGCGUUGUGUAGCGCUUGCCGCGCACACCCGCUGCCUAAACUCUGUACAACUCUAGUCUUGUGUGCGGCCAACGUCGCUGCUGGUAGCGCUGCCGCAUUGGCCAUACACACGGGAGGGUUGUGCGCGCUUCGUUAAUGUUCGAUUUGUUCAGUCAUCAGCCGAAUUCGUGACAGGCAACAUCUUAUUAGAUUAUAGUUGCGCUGCCUGCGUGUGUGUCUGUCUGUCUUGUUUAUUUGUUAUUAUUAUAAUAGCCUAGUGUAGUACUACGCCGCUGGCCUGGUCGGACAACGACAACAACGACGGUCGAUAGAAAAUUAGUGGAAAAAAAAAACUACCGGGCAUUUGUUGGUAGUACGAAAUUCGUUUAAGUAAGAAAUAAAAAAAUAAUGCGUUGAAUGACUGGUGUUGGAAAAUAUGUGUAAAAUAGCGACGGCAAAUGCUUUCAAGUAGAAAUGUUUAUGAACAGAUUAACCGCGAAAAUAAGUAUCAAAAAAGUGGCUGCUAAGCAAUUUUUAAAUAAUAGUUGACAAUAAAAGAAAGAAUAUUGACUUUUUUCUGCACUAUGACAAACAAACAACAGACAAACAAAAAAAAAAACAAAAAAAUAGCAAAAAAUAAAAAAACAAAAACUGAAAAUAACUUCCAAAUACUGAUUUUACUCCACUGAACAAAAUAAGAAAACCACAGAAAACGUAAAAACCGAUUUAAGAAAAUUAAAUAAAAAACUUCUACGCGUCAAAGGUGUAUAAUUUACGAAAAGUUGUUUCUUUCAAUUUGCAUGAUAAUGAAAGUAAAUCAAAAAUCAGGAAAAACACAACUUCGAACUGAGCGGCCAAAUUAGAAGGCUUGGAAAGUCAGUUUUAUGCGAUCGGAACGACCCGCAGUUAUUCCAGCUUAGGGCUGUUGCUUCGUUUGUAUUCCGGAAAAUUAUAUAGGAAAUUAUUUAUGCUGCUACAACAGCAAAAAAACAACUGAGAGAAGACACUUUGAGUCCAUACAAAAUUCAAAUUCCACAGACACCUAUGAGCAGUGAAAUUACUUAGCUUUGGGAAUCAGGAAAUUAUAUGCCAAAGGAUUUCAAACCUAUUUAUUUCUGGAGAAAAAAAAGCGAAAGGAAAUAUAAAGCGAAGGAAAUCACAAUAGCUCAAAGUUAUUUGAGAUAGGAGCUGAAGAAUUGGAGUAGAAAAAUGUUAGCCGCUACAUAUUUUGCGGGCUAAAAACAAAAUGGAUGAUUUACUGAAGUAAAAAAAUACAAUAAUACCUCGAGGUAUUGAAGCAUUUCCUUCGAUCAACACUGAAAGUGAGGACCCUUUCUAUGCUACGAAGAACACUGGUUUUAAAGGAAAUUAAUUAAUUAAUCUCCUGAGAUUUUUGAGGUCCUAUGCUCUACCUAAGAACCACGCAAUAUAUUUAUAUGUAAAAGUAUGAAGAAAACUGGUUUCAAAAGAAAUAAAGGAAAGAAAUGAUUUUAAAACACUUAAGUUCAUUGAAAUAUGGACAUUUUUAUAAAAAAAGCGUGCCAACCAAGCACGUGAAGUACUCAGAUAAUGGAAGCCUUAGAGUGAAAACAACUUUUAUCCGAUUUGUAAAGAUUACAAAUUACGAUUAAGGCAGAUGAAGCUAAGCUGUAAGGAAAAUUUGAUUGAAAAUUGCUGAAUUAUUACGGAAAAGAAAUCAGUUCGGAAAAAAUUUUUUAAUAAUUUCAAAAUGAUUAACUAUAAGGAAAUCGGGAAAGGCCAAAAAUAAACUGUUGACUGAAGUUCACUUAAAUAAACUAAUAAUGCCAACAAUAAUGCAAUUUUGGUAGCGGCCAAGACCAACCAACGGUUGUAGUUGCAAAAACACAAAAAAAAAAAAAAAAAUAAAGCCAUCCUGGAAAUCAAGAAAAAUAGCGAUUAUAAAUUAAAAAAAAAAAUCUUUAAAAAAAAUCGUGAAAUUAGUGUAAAAAUGUUAUAAAAGGAGAGAAACUGUGGGACUAAAGACAAGCUACAAGCAGCUGGGAGGCUUAAAGGGGAAUAAGAAAUGUGAAAAUAAGCAUCAAGACCAAUUCCAAACUGGACUUACAAAAAUAACUCAUAGAUUUAAAUUAAAAAAGUGUAAAAAUGAAAAUUUAGUAACUGCUUUCUCAGAAUUUAUUUUUAUGAUAAAUGUUUUUUUUUUUGCUCACACCAUCAAAAUAAAUUUUUAUAUUAGAGAGCAGCAUCGAAAAGCAUUAUAAAAAUCAAAUCGUGCGCAAUUCAACAUUUUGUUCUUUACAUUUUUUUGUUUCUUUAAUAAAUUUACUUC